rnacentral:rRNA from 1 species
AGUGAACGCUGGCGGCAUGCCUAACACAUGCAAGUCGAACGGCAGCACCGUAUGAGCUUGCUCUUGCGGGUGGCGAGUGUCGGACGCGGCAGGUAUACAUCGAAUACCACUUUUUCGGGGGUGAUAACGUAGGAAAACGUCCGCUAAUCCAGGAUAUGUCCCACGGGUGUGAGCAGGGGUUCUUUUGACCUGUCGGGAGUGAAAAAGCCGAUGUCGGACUAGCUAGUUGGCGGGGUAGAGGCCCACCCAGGCGACGAUCCGUAGCUGAUCCGAGGGGAUGGUCCCCCACAUUGGAAGUGAGACAGAGUCCAGACUCCUACGGGAGGACGCAGUGGAGAAUCGUAGGCGAUGGGGGAGAGGCUGAUCUAGCAAUACCGCGUGAGUGCAGAAGGCGCUCGGGUUGUAAAGCCCUUUUGUUGGGAAAGAAAAGCAGCUGUUUUAUACGGCGCUGUACUGACGGUACCGAGAGAAUAAGCUCCGGCUAACUUCGUG